UUUUUUAGCAGCGCACCCCGUUGACGCUCCUGUGGACGCAUGCAGCCUCGCGCCAUUCUAUUUUUACAGACCUAUAAUUCAGCAGCUCUGACAUUUGGCACGGGCGCGUAUUACCGCCGCGCGCUCUCUUUGACGCGCACGGAAGGAAGGAAGGAAGGAAGGAAGGAAGGAGGGAAACAAGGAAGGAAGGAAGGAAGGAGGCGUCGCAACACGAAACAACAACGUGACCCGCAGGAGCCGUGGGGAAGGAAGCAUCUGCUUCUGCUGAGGCUGCGGCAACAUCAGCAUCACACACACACACAGAGAGACACGCGCGCGUCACUGCCGCUGCAUGCGCGCUGUUUGUUCCUUGAUUCCAGCUCUCGUUUCGUUUUUACGCAUCUGCCUCUUUAUAAUCAACCCACCAACGCUUGGAAACUACUAUAUUUACAGUCUCCUCCAUGUGAGCUGGUCACACAGGUGCCUGGAGACCACUGCCGAGGUCCGUCUCCAUCCUCCUGCCGGUGUCUGUGAACCUCACCAGGAGGAGAGUGUAUAUAGGUGCCUUCUAUACGGCACACUACUAAAAUCUGCUGCAUCUGUCUCCUCUGUGCCUUCCUCCACCCCUUACUGCGCCCUCCCACCGUGCAGCCACCACCACCACUAUUCCUUCCAUCACCAUCUCUAUACUGAAGGCUGCCAAUAUUGACGCUUCAUGCAACCAAGGAGAGAGACGCGUCAUUCAAACAGAACAAUAGACACCGGCUCUUAAUGGUCAGAUGUUUGGGCUUCUGGACACGUCGUCCACUGUGCCCUCUGAGUGUGUGUGCGUCUGUGUGUGUGUGUAGAGGGAGAGAGAGAGAGAGAGAGAGAGAGAGAGCAGGGGAGCAGCGACGCAGCAGCUCCGCGCACACUGUCAUCAUCUCCUUCUUCUGCUGCUGCUGCUGCUGAGGAGGAGGAGGAGGAGAAGCCCCGGGAUGAAGGAGCGGAUGCCGGCAGCAUGUGUCGCCUCCUCGGCCUUGACUUGUUGUCCCUCUGCGGCCAAAGAAGCAAACACAACUAAAAGCCUGUGACACACUUCAGCGGUGCUGGAUCAGAUUUACUCCCAGUCAGACUGUGAAGUGAAGUCUCUCUCUCUCUGUAUGUCUCCGUGGACUUUGGGCUCUGUGUGGUUGCACGUGAGAGAUUUAGAAAAAAAAAGUUGCGUAAAAUUACUUCGUGGACUUAAACCGGAGAUGUGGAAUUUACUCCAAGUGUUUGGCCUGAGUUGUGUGCAGUGCAGGCAAGAAGAGCAGUCGCACACAAAACACAUGCACACAUCCCAAGUGAAGGCGACCUUUGUGUGAAACCUGCAGGGCAACAGGUCCUCCUCAACCAAACACACCCACUGUGCUGUGAACAGACUUCAUUGCUUCAAAGCUACAGCAGGAAGAAGAGGAGGACGAGGAGGAGGAGGCAGUGGAGGAGGUAAAAGAGAAGCAGAGUGGGUGGAAGGAUGGAAGGAGAGAAGGAUAGAAACAGUUCGAGGAGGUGGUUCGAAGCGGGUGAACCCAGAGCAGGUGAACACAGCUGUGGAUCGCCAUGGGCUCUCUGGCUGCCUUCCUCCUGUGGCCCCAGCACUGCAUUCAGGGGUCCCGGGGAGAUGGCAAGGGCCAGCCAAGGCUGCCGCAGAGUGGGCAUGCUAGGCCAUCCAAGCCAGGAGAGAAGCAGGUGGAGCGGGUGAACCAAGCUCUCAUCCCCGCCGGCUAGGAGCCUCCACGGCAGAGUGGAGCAGCGCGGAGCAGCAGAAAUCAAUACAGAGGAGAGAGGCGAGCAGAGGUUGCCCAGCACCGCCUGCAGGCCUCAGAGCCCAGGGACCAACCACCACCACUGCUCCCAGCUCCUCUCUCCAUCUCUCUUUCUAUCUUCCUCCAACAAUCUCAGCAUCAGCCAGGGCCGGGGCCCUAACCUUACAACCACCCCACACGCAGUGUGUGUGUGUGUGUGUGUGUGUGUGUGUUUGUGUGUCAGCGUGUGCCCGUGUGUGUGUGGAACACAGAGAGAAAAGGGAAGAGACAGAGAAAGAGAGUCUCUGUGUGUGGUUCAGCCGGAGGGUUUCUGCUGUGUCCAAAAACCACUUGAUAAAACUUUGUCAAGGAGACAUGGAGACAGCGAGGGAGGGAGAGGAAUGGAAGAAGAAUAAGCACAUCGACAGCACGUCAAAGGUCUCUUUUCUCCCAGCUCCCUCCCUCUUAUUACUCAUUCCACCUUAACCAUUAGAAUAAGGAUCCACCCGAGACAGUAACACAGGACAUUUCUGCGAUGUCCCACUUUCAAGCACGUAGUACUCAACAUUCAUAACAUCUCGUGAGCCGGGAUGAAAGGACAGUUUGAACUUUUUCCUCUUUCCUCUGUAUCAGACCCAGCCUGUCUAUUCACCUUAGAUUUUCUUACCUUCGCUACAGCAGCUCCCAUCAGAGGAUAUGGCAGUGCAGUAUUGAUCUUUAAGGUGGAAGAGAGGGAGGCGGGCCCAGGCUUUCAUACCCCUCUCUUGCUCUGUGUGUGCGUGCGUGCGUGAGUGUGUGUGUGUGUGUGUGUGGAAACAGCACCUGAAGUCCACUUACUGCUGUGCAGCAGGGAUCCCACGGCAGCUCAAGUGAAUGGCUGCUAAUUGAAUAAGAGAUAAAAAAGGACAGUAGUUGCACAGUGCUCUCCCCGUCCUCCCCUUCACUUUUUCAUCAGACUUUUUUUUUUUUCCUUCUUCCUCACAUCUACAACGUUUUUUUUUUCCCCCCUCUUCUGAUGUUGUAACAAAAACUGCUGGUGACUUACGUAAAUUGGCCAAAUCCACAGCAAUGAAAACACCGGGCUUAACAUCAGCUUAGACUUGAGAGCUUUCAAAAGAAAAAAAAAACUUUUUUUUUUUUAUCGCAGUGGUAGGAAAAUCCAGCUGAAACUUAAGAACUGAGAAAUGCCAGAAGCCGUGUGUAUGUGGACCUGGAAGGACAUUACAGGACAGACGGACACUUUCCAUAACACGAAGAAAGGACCCAAAGCUCUCGCUGCAGCCAAAUGGGGCCUCCAUCGCUGGGCCCGACUCUUACGAAGAACAAAGAACCGACGGCUAAUCUGCACACACUUGGCCACAUAUGCAAGAGACAGCAUCAGUGUGUGUGUGUGUGUGUGUGUGUGUGUGUGUGUGUGUAAUUCAGCUGUGCUGUCUGCGGUCUGUGCGGAGGAUGUGGACAGGUAAGUCGGAGACGCUUUUAAAAGGUAUGUUUGGAGGUUGAAUCAAUUUAUUAGCCGUCUGAAGUGCACAACAGACCUGAGCCAAGCAAUAUUUUUUCCAAAACUUAGGUUCAUUAACGAGACCCUGAGGGGUACUUCUUUUUUUUUAACUCAUUAAUUGUACAGUCAAGUAUUUGACUGUAAAAUUGUUUGACAAGUUUGUUGUUUGCAGGACUGUGUGCACAUAUUAUAUGUUUAUAUAUCCUGCAAUGAAGUUACUUAUUAAUCAGUGAAAUUUCAAAUGUAUUGCCUUGAUAUGAUUUACUUUUUCAAUAAAACUGAACAAUUUGUGAAAUGAAAAA